rnacentral:misc_RNA from 1 species
AACGCACAUUGCGCCCUUUGGUAUUCCUUAGGGCAUGCCUGUUCGAGCGUCAUUUAAACCUUCAAGCUCAGCUUGGUGUUGGGUGCAUGUCCCACGGGACUCGCCUCAAAUGCAUUGGCAGCCGGUACGUUGGCUUCGAGCGCAGCAGAAAAGCGCCUGGCGUCUGACAGUAUCGGCUCUCCAGCAAGCCCCAUUCACAGUUUGACCUCGGAUCAGGUAGGGAUACCCGCUGAACUUAA